rnacentral:tRNA from 1 species
UAUGAAGCAAAAAUUGCAUUUAGUUUCGACCUAAAAAUUAGACUAUUGUCCUUAUUUU